CUGGUGAAUGGCUCGGCUCGAGAGCCGACGACGGACGUGCCAAGCUGCGAAAAGCCCGAGGGAGUCGCACGGAGACUAAGAACUCGGGAUCUCCGAAUGGGAAUCCCCACCGCAAUUGCUUCGCGCAAUGGGGAACGCUCCGAAUUGAAACAUCUCAGUAGGAGCAGGAACAGAAAGCAAACGCGAUGUCGUUACUAACCGCGAGUGAACGCGACACAGUCCAAACCGAAUCCCUCACGGGAAAUGUGGUGUUCGGACUGGUCACAACGAAACACAACUUCACGAGAAAUCUCCUGGAACGGAGUACGACACAGGGUGACAGUCCCGUAUCGUGAACGCGUGUUUCCGGACCAACUCCAGAGUAGCGGGGAUUGGAUAUUCCUCGUGACUACCGCAGGCAUCAACUGCGAAGACUAAAUCACUCCUCGAGACCGAUAGCGAACAAGUAGCGUGAGCGAACGCUGAAAAGCACCCCGAACAGGGCGGUGCAAUAGGGCCUGAACUCAGUCAGUGAUAGAACGACGAGGCAUACAAGGUCCUCGAAUAAACGACCGUGGGGCGACCCACCAGUAGGACUUCGAGGAAGCCGGUGUCGCGUCGUGCGUUUUGAAAAACGACCCAGGGAGUGCAUUAUCGAGGCAAGCCUAACCGGAUCAUCCGGGCAGGCACAGGGAAACCGAUAUGGCCGCAGUCCUUCCGGACCAGGGCCGCCGUGUUCAAGCGCGGGGAGUCCCGAUGAUGCGACCCGAAACCGAGUGAUCUACGCGCGAGCAAGGUGAAGCGUGGCGAAAGCUGCGUGGAGGCCUGAAGGGAUGGUGUCCUACAAUACCCUCCUCUGACUCGUGCGUAGGGGUGAAAGGCCCAUCGAACUCGGCAACAGCUGGUUCCAGCCGAAACAUGUCGAAGCAUGACCUCGACCGAGGUAGUCUGCGAGGUAGAGCGACCGAUUGGAAGUCCCGCCUCCGAGAGGAGUCGGCCUUCCUGUCAAACUCCGAACUUGCAGACGCCACAGACGUCGGGAAUCCGGUAUGCGGGGUAAGCCUGUGUACCGUGAGGGAGACAACCCAGAGCCGGGUUAAGGUCCCCAAGUGUAGAUUAAGUGCGAUCGAAGGUGGUCUCGAGCCCUAAACAGCCGGGAGGUGAGCUUAGAAGCAGCUACCCUCUAAGAAAAGCGUAACAGCUUACCGGCCGAGGUUCGAGGCGCCCAAAAUGAUCGGGGCUCAAAUCUACCACCGAGACCUGGCAGCGUCCUUCACCGGACGACCUAGUAGGCUUGGCGUACUGUACGGGCGGAAGCACGGGCGAGAGCUCGCGUGGACCGUAUAGUAACGAAAAUCCUGGUCACAGUAGCAGCGAGAGUCGGGUGAGACCCCCGACGGCCAAACGAGCAAGGGUUCCUCGGCACUGCUAAUCAGCCGAGGGUUAGUCGGUCCUAAGUCCCGCCGUAAUUCGACCGGGACAACCAGGGAAACUGGUUAAUAUUCCAGUACCACCGUGCAUAUUGUCGACGCUUUGGGAAACAGCGAGCGGGGCCUUCGCCCCGUCGAAUCGUGGAACAUCGUGGAAACCGUAACGGUACGAAGCGAUCGAAUCACGAGACAGCGCAAGUCGCUGGUACCGAGAGCCCGUGAAAAGACGCACGGCGACCGUACCGAGAUCCGACACAGGUGCUCAGGCAGCGAAAGCCACGGCCCGUCGGGAGCAACCGGCGUUAGGGAAUUCGGCAAGUUAGUCCCGUACCUUCGGAAGAAGGGAUACCUGCUUUUGACCGAGCAGGUCGCAGUGACUCGGACGCUCCGACUGUCUAGUAACAACAUAGGUGACCGCAAAUCCGCAAGGACUCGUACGGUCACUGAAUCCUGCCCAGUGCGGGUAUCUGAACACCUCGUACAAGAGGACGAAGGACCCGUCAACGGCGGGGGUAACUAUGACCCUCUUAAGGUAGCGUAGUACCUUGCCGCUUCAGUAGCGGCUUGCAUGAAUGGAUCAACGAGAGCGUCACUGUCCCAACGCUGGGCCCGGUGAACUGUACGUUCCAGUGCGGAGUCUGGAGACCCCCAAGGGGAAGCGAAGACCCUAUAGAGCUUUACUGCAGGCUGUCGCUGAGACGUGGUCGCUGAUGUGCAGCAUAGGUAGGAGUCGUUACAGAGGUACCCGCGCUAGCGGGCCACCCAGACACAAGUGAAAUACUACCCGUUAGUGACUGCGACUCUCACUCCUGGCGGAGGACACCGGUAGCCGGGCAGUUUGACUGGGGCGGUACGCGCUCGAAAAGAUAUCGAGCGCGCCCAAAGAUUUCCUCACCCGGGUCGGAAACCCGGAGAAGAGCGCAAGAGCACACGGAAGUCUGACAGUGAUCUUCCCAACGAGGAUCGCUGACGCGAAAGCGUGGUCUAGCGAACCAACGAGGCUCCUGGAUGGGGCCCGUUGAUGACAGAAAAGCUACCUUAGGGAUAACAGAGUCGUCACUCGCAAGAGCACAUAUCGACCGAGUGGCUUGCUACCUCGAUGUCGGUUCCCUCCAUCCUGCCUGUGCAGAAGCAGGCAAGGGUGAGGUUGUUCGCCUAUUAAAGGAGGUCGUGAGCUGGGUUUAGACCGUCGUGAGACAGGUCGGCUGCUAUCUAUUGGGGGUGUUUUGGUACUUGAGAGGAACGGUCGUAUAGUACGAGAGGAACUACGACUGGGUGCCGCUGGUGUAUCGGUUGUCCGAGAGGGCAGAUGCCGAGCAGCCACGCACCACGGGGUAAGAGCUGAACGCAUCUAAGCUCGAAACCCACCUCAAAAAGAAGUACCACCGAGGACACUCGUAGAAGACGAGUUAGAUAGACUCGGGGUGUACGCACCGAG
rnacentral:rRNA from 1 species